AUUUAAAUAUUUAUUAAAUUUUUAUUUUUAUUUAUUUUAAAAAAAAUAAUUUUUAGUUUUUUAUUAAUUAAGAUAAAAUUAAUUGAAUGAUAAAGUAUAAGUAUAGUAUUAGAAUAUUUAAAUAAUUGAAAUAUUUAAAUUUUUAAAAGAAAAAUUUAUUUUUUGUACCUUGUGUAUCAGGGUUUAUUUAAAAAUUAUUAUUUUUAUUAAUAUUCUCGAAUUUAAAAGAGUUAGAAAAUUAUAAAUUUUUAUUGUAAAAUAAAUAUUUAAAAUAAUUUUUUAGUAAUGAAACGUUAGUCGUUUUUAAAGUUAUCUAGUUUUUUAAGAAAUAAAUUUAAUUUAGUUAUUUAUUUUAAUUUAUAUAUAUAUAUAUAUAUAUAUAUAUUUAAAUAAUUAAUUAAUAUUUUAAGGGAUAAGCUUUAAAAUAAAAAUUUUAAAAAUUAAAAAUUUAAUUAAAAUUUUGUAGGAUUGGAAAUUUUUAUCAUUAAUAGUAUGUUAUAAUAAUAUUUUAUAUUAAUUUGAUUUUUAUAUAAUUUUAAAUGUUUUAUUAAAAUUAUUUAUUUAAUUUAAAAAUUUAUGAAAUAAUGAUAAAAUUAGUAAAAAUUUUUAAUGUUUCUUUAUUUUAAAUAAUUAAGGUUAAGUUAAGGAAUUCGGCAAAUAUUUUUUCCGCCUGUUUAUUAAAGACAUGUCUUUUUGAUUAUAAUUUAAAUGAAGUAAUUUAAAUGGCUGCGGUAUUUUGACCGUACAAAGGUAGCAUAAUAAUUAGUUUUUUAAUUGAGAACUGGAAUGAAGGGUCGAACGAGAAAAAUACUGUCUCAAUUUAAUUUAAAUUUGAAUUUUAUAUUUAAGUAAAAAAGCUUAAAUAAUCUUAAAAGACGAGAAGACCCUAUAGAGUUUAAUAUUAUUUAUUAUUUAUUAAAUUAAAGUAUUUUAUUUUUUAAUAUUAAUUAGUAUUUAAUUGGGGUGAUUAAAAAAUUGAUUUAACUUUUUUUAUAUAUUUACAUUGAUUUAUGAUUAGUUGAUCCAUUAUUAAUGAUUAUAAGUUUAAAUUACCUUAGGGAUAACAGCGUUAUUUUUUUUUAGAGUUCUUAUCGAAAAAAAAGUUUGCGACCUCGAUGUUGGAUUAAAAUUAACUUUUGGUGUAGGGGCUAAAGAGUUGGGUCUGUUCGACCCUUAAAAUUUUACAUGAUCUGAGUUUAAACCGGUGUAAGCCAGGUUGGUUUCUAUCUUUAAGAUAUUUAAAUAUUUUUGUACGAAAGGACUAAAUAUUUAUAAUAUUUAUUAUAAUAUUUGAAUAUUAUUAAUGUGAAAA
rnacentral:rRNA from 1 species